rnacentral:rRNA from 1 species
GAUGAACGCUGGCGGCGUGCCUAACACAUGCAAGUCGAGCGGCAGCGCGGGGUUCUUGCUCCCUGUCGGCGAGCGGCGGACGGCUGAGUAACGCGUGGGAACGUGCCCCAAAGUGAGGAAUAACUGCCCGAAAGGGUAGCUAAUCCCGCAUCUUAUCUUCGGAUCAAAGGAUUUAUCCGCUUUGGGAGGGGCUCGCGUCGGAUUAGGUAGUUGGUUAGGUAAUGGCUCACCAAGCCGACGAUCCGUAGCUGGUCUGAGAGGAUGACCAGCCAGACUGGAACUGAGACACGGUCCAGACUCCUACGGGAAGGAGGAGUGAGGAAUCUUCCAAAAUGGGCGAAAGGCUGAUGGAGCAACGCCGCGUGCAGGACGAAGGCGUGAGGGUUGUAAACUGCUUUUAUAAGUGAGGAAUAUGACGGUAACUUAUGAAUAAGGAUCGGCUAACUACGUG